UACAGAGGGGGCAAGCGUUAUUCGGAAUUAUUGGGCCUAAAGCAUCCGUAGCCGGUUCUACAAGUCUUCCGUUAAAUCCACCUGCUUAACAGAUGGGCUGCGGAGGAUACUAUAGAGCUAGGAGGCGGGAGAGGCAAGCGGUACUUAGUGGGUAGGGGUAAAAUCCGUUGAUCCAUUGAAGACCACCAGUGGCGAAGGCGGCUUGCCAGAACGCGCUCGACGGUGAGGGAUGAAAGCUGGGGGAGCAAACCGG
rnacentral:rRNA from 1 species